rnacentral:misc_RNA from 1 species
CUUCUGCCUUCGAUGGAUAGCGGUGAGCCGCAGUAUCUGAUCAAGGGCUGCGCUGGUCAGCCGGAGCGCAUCAUUAAAGAGAGCCAGCUUGCCUCAGCGGUUCACUUCCCUCAGCCCCGCCGCUGAUCAAUUCAGCCUCCCUCCAAAUAGCACCCGCCUACGGUCGGCGGUUUGAUCCAUGUAAAAGCCGUUUCGCUGAAGCUGUGAGAGGCUAUGCC